rnacentral:rRNA from 1 species
GUUUUCCGAAUCUCCCUUUUCUUAGCAACAUGAUUUCAUGGUUUUCAUGUGAUUAUAGGUACUCGUUUCUUGAUCGUAUGUGGUAUUCGCCAAUAUCUUGGUCUUCUGACCAAGAAGCAUCACGUUGUUUUUGGAGCAGCUGCAUGGUACAAGCAUUUUGUAGACGUGGUUCGGUUAUUCUCAUUUGUCUCUAUCUAUUGGUAGGAAGGUAUAUGA